UAUCACAUUUCCUGCAAUAGUACAUCAUGUUAUGUGUUCCCAGCAUUUAUUCCAACUGGCAAAUUUUUUGUCGACUCGCUUAACUGGUCUAUAUCCUAUCAUAUGCUCUGACGUCCUUAACUCUUGCCUCCCACCUAUUUCUCUGUCAUUUGCAAAGUUAGCUGUACAGUCAGUUCUGCGAAAACGUGUGUUUCUUCAACAAGAAUUGGCUUUAACGAUUUGAACAAUUUAGACCAUUACUUGUAGAACAUGAACUUUGCUUACCUGAAUUGGCUAUAAUGCAAUUCCAGCCCCAUUAGUUUAAAUGAUGUGGCUGUUGUGCGAUUUUCUUGUAACACGAGCUCGCACAAGAACAGAACUAUCCUGUUAUAUCAGAGCCAAUUGUAUUGUAUUCACUUUUUUGUCAUCCAAGUCAUAAACAUAUGUUGUAGAUAAUUAUUGCCCCAACACCGAUCCAAUUGGCACACAUUAUUUACUGGUUGCCAUCCUGAAAAUGUCUUGUUUAUCCCACUGUCUUCUCUUCAUUAGCCAAUCCUCUAUCCAUGCUAAUAUACUAACUCUAACACCAUGGGUUCUUAGCUAAUUAAGCAGCCUAAUAUUUAGUAUUUUAUUAAAUGCCUUCUAAAAUCCAAAAUAUAUCACAUGCACCACUACUCCUUUAAUUAUUUUGCUGGUUACCUUCUCAAAGAGCUCUGGUCAGUUUGUCAGGCAGGAUUUCCCUUGAUGAAGCAUCCUGACUCUGCUUGAUCAUACUAUGUAAAAUAAAGACAUCAUACCCCUACUACCCAGAGUUGCUCACUCGUUAGAGACAAUUAGUGGUUUAACUUGAGGGUCACCAUGCCUCAGGUGAUAGGAGAGAUUGAGAGGGAGAGUCCUUUGUGGUAACCUCAGCUGGUACAGGAAUGGAACCCAUCCUUUUGGCAUUACUCUGCACUACCCACCAGCCAUCCAGUCAACUGAACUUAUCAACUCUGCCAUAUAAUGUAUUUCCAAGUGCUCAGCUGUUACAUCCUUCAUAAUAGAUUCUACCAUUUUCCCAAUAAGAGGUAUUAGGCUAGCAGGCUUCUAGUUAACUUUUUGUCGACUACCCUUUAUUAUAAAAGGUGUUACAUUGACAAGUUUCAAAAGCUCUGGGAAGUUUCCAGAAUCCAAGGAUUCCUGAAAGAUUAUGAUCAGUGCUUCCACUAUCUCUACAGCUUCUUCCUUUAAUAUGCCCGGAUAUGUCCCAUCUGGUUGAGUGGUUCUCUUGGUCUUUAGCACCAUGGUAUCCCCAGCACCUUUUCUCAGUGAUAGCUGUUGUAUUUAUUUUCUCUCCUUUUGGUCCUUACUUAGGUAAUUUUGGAAUGCUAUUCCUGUCUUCUGUGAAGACUGGUGAAAAGAAUUUAUUCAACUCUUCUACCAUUUCCUGACUUCUCAUUAUCUUACCUCAUUCUGUCAGGGGCUAUGUUCACUUUGGCUUCUCUCUUUUUUAUACGUUUAAACAAGCUCUUGCUGUCUAAUUUGAUAUUGCUUGCAAGUUUACCCUCCAAGUUAAUUUUCUUUUUUUUUUGGUUGUCUUUUUGUGUAUUUUAAAACUUUCCCAAUUCUGUCACAAAUGUUUGUCAGAUUGUGUGUUUUGUCUUUCAAUUUGAUGCUAUCCUUAACCUGCCCAGUUAAUCACUGGCUUUAUCCCCUUCCGUGAAUCCUCCUUUCUGACUGGAAUAUAGUUUCUUAUUAACCUAUUUAGAGCUAUGUUACACUUCAGGAGCAGAUGGGACUUGAACUGGGCUGCCUAGCUCAGAGGGAGCAAUACAAACACUGGACCACGAAAGACCCUCCUCAUUGAAAUACAUCUUUGCUAUUAGCCAGGCAUUUGCAGAAGGAAGUGCAGUCAACAACCAACUCUUCUGAACUCUCAGAGGACCAAAAG